GAGUUUGAUCGUGGCUCAGAUUGAACGCUGGCGGCAUGCCUUACACAUGCAAGUCGAACGGCAGCAUGAUCUAGCUUGCUAGAUUGAUGGCGAGUGGCGAACGGGUGAGUAAUACAUCGGAACGUGCCCUGUAGUGGGGGAUAACUAGUCGAAAGAUUAGCUAAUACCGCAUACGACCUGAGGGUGAAAGUGGGGGACCGCAAGGCCUCAUGCUAUAGGAGCGGCCGAUGUCUGAUUAGCUAGUUGGUGGGGUAAAGGCCCGACCAAGGCGACGAUCAGUAGCUGGUCUGAGAGGACGAUCAGCCACACUGGGACUGAGACACGGCCCAGACUCCUACGGGAGGCAGCAGUGGGGAAUUUUGGACAAUGGGCGAAAGCCUGAUCCAGCAAUGCCGCGUGUGUGAAGAAGGCCUCGG
rnacentral:rRNA from 1 species